CCAGAGCGCCCAACUCGAUAACCUCACGAGCCCACGACGCGCACGCCCGUCGCACCAGCCCCCGCACGCCGCACGCACCAGCACCCGCACCCACGCCAUCCAAGGCAGCGGCCGGCCCCGAGCGCCAUGGAGGCCGACGCGGCGACCCCGUCCCCGCCGGGGUCGAGGAAGCGCUCGUCCCGCCCCAGGCCCCGCCCGGACGACGGCCGCCCGGAGCCCUACCCCAGCCCCCGCGGCUCCCCCUCCCGCAGGAGCGAGCGCACGCGCCGGCCCCGCGCGCCCGCGGACUCCGACGCGGUGACCGCGCCCGCCGAGCGCAGGGCCCGCGCGCCCUCUCGCCCGCCCUCCGCAGGCCCGUCCGCGCCUUCCAGGAGGCCGCCGCGCUGGCCGCGCUCGCGGCCAGCGCGCCCGCCGCGGCCUCCUCCUCCGGCGCCAGAUCCUACGGCGUGGUCUGGAGCGACGCCGACGAGGUCGCCCUCCUCAACGCGGCCGCCGCCUUCCGCGUGCGCCACGGCCGCGUCCCGGGCCUCCCGGACAUGGGCGCGCUCUUCGACGCCAUCAGGGGCUCCAUCGCCCCGCACAUCGACCAGCCCAAGGUGUACUACAAGCUGAAGCGGCUCAAGAGCAAGUUCGACCACGCGGUGCCGUCCGCGGUCGUCAGCCGGCACGAGCAGCGCCUGCGCGACCUCUGCAAGAAGGUCUGGGGCGCCAACUUCGGCCUGCCUGCCGAGAAGGAUGCCGCGCCGGAGGAAGACGAGGAAGACGAGGAGGAGGAGCGCGGGCGCGGCAACGUCCCGGACGCGGCAGCCAUGCUCCCGGUGGCCACCGAGGUGCUCGAUGCGUACUGGAAGACGGAUGGCCCGGCGCUGUCCGGGGUGUCCCUGGAGAAGGGGCUGUCAAAGCUAGCAACGGAAGACGCGAGAUGGAUCGAAGCCAAGUGGCGGCGGCAGCUGGAUGCAGAAGUGCACUCGCAGAUUAAGCGGCACGAUCUGGCCAAGGAGGUCUACGGCCUGCUCCUUGACGCCAUUAAGGGCCUCGGCCCCUAGCUCUGGUGCAAGUUGAUGAGGUGCGCCGAGCCAGCCAUGCCGUUCCUAUAGGCUGAUCGAGUAGAUCUGCAUUCAGUUGCUCAGUUACAAGACCUUAUUAUCGAGUAAUGAUCAGCGCCGGCAUGCUGUAGCUGUACAAUCUGCAUGUCUCUGUCUGCUGCGUCUAGUGACUGUCACUUUGCUUUAGGUUCAUAUAGGUGUUAGUUUUGCUCUUCCUUAGAUUUAGACCAUGAAAAUGAUUCAGAUGCUCAGCCGAUUUGUAAACUGUUUUGUAACGUCUGUGUCCGUGGUGUUAGGCCUGCAUUCUUCAACUGUAAGAAUCCAGCAUCUUUGGUUUUCAUUGCUUGAUGGUGUGGUGAAAAUAAUUUGCUCAACGUGUGUUGCUGAA